rnacentral:tRNA from 1 species
GGAGGGUUCGCAUAGUGGACGAGUGCAGCCGCCUUGAAAGCGGCCAGGUCAGCGAUGGCCUCGUGGGUUCGAAUCCCACACCCUCCGCUA